rnacentral:rRNA from 1 species
CCUACGGGAGGCAGCAGUAAGGAAUAUUGGUCAAUGGACGAAAGUCUGAACCAGCCAUGCCGCGUGAAGGAUGACGGCCCUCUGGGUUGUAAACUUCUUUUAUCUGGGACGAAAAAAGGGAAUUCUUUCUCACUUGACGGUACCAGAGGAAUAAGCACCGGCUAACUCCGUGCCAGCAGCCGCGGUAAUACGGAGGGUGCAAGCGUUAUCCGGAUUCACUGGGUUUAAAGGGAGCGUAGGUGGGCAGGUAAGUCAGUGGUGAAAUCUCCGGGCUUAACCCGGAAACUGCCAUUGAUACUAUUUGUCUUGAAUUAUCUGGAGGUAAGCGGAAUAUGUCAUGUAGCGGUGAAAUGCUUAGAUAUGACAUAGAACACCCAUUGCGAAGGCAGCUUACUACGGAUAUAUUGACACUGAGGCUCGAAAGCGUGGGGAUCAAACAGGAUUAGAUACCCUGGUAGUCCACGCCCUAAACGAUGGAUACUCGACAUCAGCGAUACACUGUUGGUGUCUGAGCGAAAGCAUUAAGUAUCCACCUGGAAGUACGACCGCAAGGUUGAACUCAAGGAAUUGACGGCUGAGACCGNGCGAGACGACGACGAGGAGAGG